CACCCGCUGGCUCUCUCUCUCUCUCUCUCUAUAUCUCUCUCGGUUCUACACGUGAAGAUGGUGAUGAAGAAGGUGAAGAACAUGGCAGGCUUCGUUACUCGGGAUCCCAUCCUUUCCUCCCGUCUUUUGCUGGCUCAUCUCCAAAACUUUUCUGUGAGAAUUGGAAUGCGCUGCAGCUGAAAAGGUAGGGCUAUUCGCGGGGCGAUACUCUGGCAGGAGCCAACCAGACUUGUACCGCACCCCACAGGCAUUACACAACGUGGCCCACCACCCACCACCGUCGCCUCGUAGUAGGAUCCCACAAAGCCUUCCUCGUUGCUCAACACCUCCACCACUUUGCUGGAAAUUUGGCCGGAAAAUUUAACGGCAAGACCAAAUGUGAUACAAAAUGAAUAGUCAUGCACCUAAUUUGAAAA